CUGUACAUUGUUGCUCUUUAACCAGUCUUAAUUCUGCAGCUCUACUUACACAAGUACAGCGUACAGCGUACAGCGUACAGCGUACAGCGUACAGCGUACAGCGUACAGCGUACAGCGUACAGUGUACAGCAGACGACUUAAAAUUUUUGGCAGUGGAAACCUAUCUUGAGCACAACCUACUCAUACUCUUCAACUUCUCAGCCUGCCCUAUACUGCCUGAGCCCUGAACCGGCAUAAGUGACGUCAUCAAAUAUAUGAUGUUGUGUAGUGAGGUUGUGUGAAGCUAAACUAUGAGCCUGGAAGAGGAGGAGAGACCUGUCUUUAACUGGGUAGAGAAUGUAUCCCAUCUCUGCUAUAGUGAAGAAGGGGAUGGAUCUCAUGGUUGGUGUGGCUGGAAGGAUGAAUGCUCCGGCAAGGGAAUGGUUCUUCCUCUGUUCUUUGAGGAAACCUGGCCCUGGCAGCUAAGAGCAUUUAUUUAUUGUUU